GCCCGGCUAGCUCAAUCGGUAGAGCGUAAGACUGUACGAUUCUCCAAUGUUCACUUUUUCAUUGUUCCCAGCUAACGUUCCCGAAGUCUACACCCACAGAAGUUUAUCUUAAGGCUGCGGGUUCGACCCCCGCGUUGGGCU